rnacentral:tRNA from 1 species
AUUUAAAUAGCUCAAAAAUUAGAGUGUAACAUUGAAGAUGUUAAGGUAGUAAAUUUACUUUUAAAUA